CAGGCCUGUCCCCCACCCCCAGCUCUCAGUUACAGCUCGUUUGGCUUCAGCUGUGCUUUUAACCUCUCAGGAGGUAGAUGGAAGCCUGCAGUCGGCGUGCGCCUUCCUCUUCGCUGCCCGGACGGGGCCUGGAUCCUUUCUAACUGUGAGUACAGAAGGAGGACACCUCCCGUUUGGAUCCUGGAUUGUAGGCCAGGUCUACCUAGAAGCCAAUCACUCAAGGCUAAGAAAAUGGCUUGAAGGCCUUUUUUUUCCUAUAAAAUGCAGCCAGUGCUGUGCUGUGAGGGAGAAGAGGACAGAGGAUGAAGAUGGGGCUGAGGAGGAGGCUGUGACCAGGACGCCCUCAGGGAUGACUCUGGGCAGCGGGGGAGGCCGGCACAUGUGCGGAGGAAGCUCUGUCUCCGACAAGGCGGGUUGUGUGCCAACGCCAGCGAACGCUGCAUAUUCAUUGAAACAAACAUGACAGUCCACCCAGGGAAGCAGAGUGGGCCGACCUGGCAGCCAGCUCCUUCAAGACAGUUCCAGAGCAGAGCUGGCGGUUCUGGCUAUUGGUGGCCGAGAAAGGGCACAGCUCGGUGUGUGUGGAGAGAGAGGCCUGAUGAGCAGCUUUCCCUAGGGCAUUUCUGACACCAGUCAUCCGGCUUCUCCAGGACGGCUCAACGGUUCACUAAGGACAGCGUGGGAGGAAAACGUGGCCCAGCCUGAUAGAUAUCUCAGUCUUUUCACCCAGACCGACGCCAGCAAAGCUAAAAAUAAAUCAGCUUUCAGGUCUGGGCACAGAGGCCUGGAAGGCGCAAGCGUUCAUGAGCCAGCAGUAAUGAUGGAACCAGCCCUCUCGUGUGGAAGUCUCUCUGAGUGAACCAGAUGUCGUUGGCCCUAGGAGAUCCACGACCAAGAGUUGAGUUUUCACAGCGUUGAAAGGCCAGCAUUGGCCCUAACGCUAUUGGCCUCAGCAGAAGUCAGGAGCAAGAGUGAAGACCUAAUGAAGAGAGAGAGAGGCUGGAGAGUCUGGACAGAAACCUGCGAGCCUUAGAUUCUCAUGCUGUCUCAUCAAGCGCAGGGCCCAGCUUUUCAUCCAGUGAAGGGUUCCAUGCAGCCCAGAACCACCAUGGCCUUGGAGAAGAGGCUCAGAAGCAGGAGUCAGGAAGCAGAAGCCCUGGCCACUUUGUGGUUGUAGAGUCAUCAUCUAGAAGAGAGAACCAUGAAAUGUAUGUGUAGAAAGACAGCUGGCCUCUCUUCCCACAGGAGUUAACGAUCCAGAGGGGAAGACGAUUUGAGCUCUUUACAGACCCGCGUUAUACAUGACUGGCUGCUGAUCCAUCUCCUUCUCGCUGACCAGGACGAGGAAACUGACUGACAUCGUCAAGCAGCAGCAGUGAAGAUGCAGCGUAGACUUUCUGGACAGACCGGUUGCCAAGAACCAAACUGUGGAAGGAGUAAUAAGUAUUCAUUUAACACCCAGUUAUAUAACACAUAUAUAUCAUAUAACAGAGUUAUAUGAUAGGCACUCUGGGGUAAAAAAAUAAAAAUCACCGAACCGACUCUUAACCUCAAUUUGGGUAUUGAAGAAAGGAUUGUCUUGCCUUGCACAUAGUAGGCAUUUAGUAAAUGUUGAAUUGAAGAAUAUAAUCGAACGGUGAUUCAGCUGAGGGAAGGCCUACACAGAGGAAGGGGGAUCUCAAAUCUCUUCCAAAACUGUAAGAAUGACAAGGCAGGAUGUUCUGUGCAAGGCUGGAGUCACAGCUUUCAAAGACAAUUCAAAUGCUACGUGGUCAAGGCACAAGGGGAAAAACAGCCUCUUGAAUCCCUAAUUGUUUACUUCCUUAAGAGAGUAAGUUUAGCUGGCGGCAUGGAGCUUAUUCAUUCAUUCAUUCAUUCACUUACUCAUCCUGUAAUUAUGAAGCAGUUCUAUAUACUAGGUGCUGGGCUCAGCACUAAGGGUAGAGCAGUUGAAAUAAGAUGAACAGUUUCUUGUCCUCAGGAAGCCUCUAGUCCAGGGAGGAAGUCAGACAUUGAAAAUAGAUGUUCCAGCUGUGAUGAAUGGAUCGAUAGGGGCAAUCAAAGUGCUAUGGAUAUCAUUUGUCGUGUACUGCAAGUUUAUUAACCUAGGAAUAGAUUCAAACAUUGUCAUGUACAUAUUGUGACCAUGACUUUGCAAAUGAACUUUUAACAAACAUAUUGAGACUUAUGCAUAUAAAUAAGUGUUUUUUCCAACAAAGACUCACUUUGGAAGCCCGUGUUCAUAUUUCAAUGAUACUUUUCUGGUUACUG
ensembl:lncRNA